GAUGAACGCUGGCGGCGUGCCUAAUACAUGCAAGUCGAGCGAACAGACGAGGAGCUUGCUCCUCUGACGUUAGCGGCGGACGGGUGAGUAACACGUGGAUAACCUACCUAUAAGACUGGGAUAACUUCGGGAAACCGGAGCUAAUACCGGAUAAUAUAUUGAACCGCAUGGUUCAAUAGUGAAAGACGGUUUUGCUGUCACUUAUAGAUGGAUCCGCGCCGCAUUAGCUAGUUGGUAAGGUAACGGCUUACCAAGGCAACGAUGCGUAGCCGCCCUGAGAGGGUGAUCGGCCACACUGGAACUGGGACACGGUCCAGACUCCUACGGGAGGCAGCAGAAGGGAAUCUUCCGCAAUGGGCGAAAGCCUGACGGAGCAACGCCGCGUGAUGGAUGAAGGUCUUCGGAUCGUAAGACUCUGUUAUUAGGGAGGAACAAAUGUGUAAGUAACUAUGCACGUCUUGACGGUACCUAAUCAGAAAGCCACGGCUAACUACGUG
rnacentral:rRNA from 1 species